GUGGCAGCGCUGUGGCAGUGCCAGGACAGGCCUGGUUUGGAGAGGGCAGCGGCCCUGUCUGGGCUGUUGUGUUUGAGUGUCAGGGGAAGGAGACACAUUUGUCCCAGUGUGCCUUUUCUUCAUGGAACCGAGUUCCAUGCUCUCAUGAACAUGAUGCAGGAGUCAUCUGUAAUGUCAUACCUUCCGAACGCACAACUACAACAGGAAUUCUAGAAACAACCACAAGCACUCUAAAACCAGUUGGACCCAGUCCACCGUCCCCACUGUCCAUCCCUGCUGUGGUCUUCCUGGUACUGGGAGCUCUUCUCUUCCUACUGCUAGUGCUGCUCGCUGGUCGUCAGUUGUACCAGAACAGGGUGCUGA